GACGUAGGGCGCGAGCGUUGUCCGGAUUUAUUGGGCGUAAAGAGCUCGUAGGCGGCUUGUCGCGUCGACUGUGAAAUCCCGCGGCUCAACUGCGGGUCUGCAGCCGAUACGGGCAGGCUAGAGUUCGGUAGGGGAGACUGGAAUUCCUGGUGUAGCGGUGAAAUGCGCAGAUAUCAGGAGGAACACCGGUGGCGAAGGCGGGUCUCUGGGCCGAUACUGACGCUGGAGGGAGCGAAAAGCGUGGGGAGCGAACAGG
rnacentral:rRNA from 1 species